CGAAGCGCUACCGACGGAACUUUUCGGAGGGAAGAUGGUAAUGACUGAGUGGCGGACGGGUGAGUAACGCGUGGGUAACCUGCCUCACAGAGGGGGACAACAGCCGGAAACGGCUGCUAAUACCGCAUAACAAGGGAUCUCCGCAUGAAGGUUCCUUCGAAGAUUUAUCGCUGUGAGAUGGACCCGCGUCUGAUUAGCUAGUUGGCAGGGUAACGGCCUACCAAGGCGACGAUCAGUAGCCGGCUUGAGAGAGUGAACGGCCACAUUGGGACUGAGACACGGCCCAGACUCCUACGGGAGGCAGCAGUGGGGAAUAUUGCACAAUGGGGGAAACCCUGAUGCAGCGACGCCGCGUGAGUGAAGAAGUAUUUCGGUAUGUAAAGCUCUAUCAGCAGGGAAGAUAAUGACGGUACCUGACUAAGAAGCCCCGGCUAACUACGUGCCAGCAGCCGCGGUAAUACGUAGGGGGCAAGCGUUAUCCGGAUUUACUGGGUGUAAGGGAGCGUAGGUGGCAGGGCAAGUCAGAUGUGAAAACCCGGGGCUCAACCCCGGGAUUGCAUUUGAAACUGUCCGGCUGGAGUG
rnacentral:rRNA from 1 species